AUUGAACGCUGGCGGCAGGCCUAACACAUGCAAGUCGAGCGAGAGGGGGACGGGGGAGUAAUGUAUGGGGACUGCCCGAUAGAGGGGGGUAACUACUGGAAACGGUAGCUCAUACAGCAUACUAUCGGAGAACGCCUAUGGGAUUAGCUAGUAGGUGAGGUAAUGGCUCACCUAGGCGACGAUCCCUAGCUGGUCUGAGAGGAUGAUCAGCCACACUGGAACUGAGACACGGCCCAGACUCCUACGGAGGCAGCAGUGGGGAAUAUUGCACAAUGGGCGCAAGCCUGAUACAGCCAUGCCGCGUGUAUGAAGAAGGCCCUAGGGUUGUAAAGUACUUUCAGUCGGGAGGCGUUACCGACAGAAGAAGCACCGGCUAACUCCGUGCCAGCAGCCGCGGUAAUUC
rnacentral:rRNA from 1 species